rnacentral:rRNA from 1 species
GAUCAUGGCUCAGGAUGAACGCUAGCUACAGGCUUAACACAUGCAAGUCGAGGGGAAACGACAUCGAAAGCUUGCUUUUGAUGGGCGUCGACCGGCGCACGGGUGAGUAACGCGUAUCCAACCUGCCCAUCACUUGGGAAUAACCUUGCGAAAGUAAGACUAAUGCCCAAUGAUAUCCCACGAAGGCAUCCGAAUGGGAUUAAAGAUUUAUCGGUGUAAGAUGGACCCGCGUCUGAUUAG